AUAUAUAAUUUUAUACAAAAUUAAAAACAACACCCCUCCCGCCUAUUAGAGUUUGGAUUCAUGGCUCAGGACGAACGCUGGCGGCGUGCUUAACACAUGCAAGUCGAGCGGUAAGGCCUUUCGGGGUACACGAGCGGCGAACGGGUGAGUAACACGUGGGUGAUCUGCCCUGCACUUCGGGAUAAGCCUGGGAAACUGGGUCUAAUACCGGAUAUGACCUCCUAUCGCAUGGUGGGUGGUGGAAAGAUUUAUCGGUGCAGGAUGGGCCCGCGGCCUAUCAGCUUGUUGGUGGGGUAAUGGCCUACCAAGGCGACGACGGGUAGCCGACCUGAGAGGGUGACCGGCCACACUGGGACUGAGACACGGCCCAGACUCCUACGGGAGGCAGCAGUGGGGAAUAUUGCACAAUGGGCGAAAGCCUGAUGCAGCGACGCCGCGUGAGGGAUGACGGCCUUCGGGUUGUAAACCUCUUUCAGCAGGGACGAAGCGCAAGUGACGGUACCUGCAGAAGAAGCACCGGCUAACUACGUGCCAGCAGCCGCGGUAAUACGUAGGGUGCAAGCGUUGUCCGGAAUUACUGGGCGUAAAGAGUUCGUAGGCGGUUUGUCGCGUCGUUUGUGAAAACCAGCAGCUCAACUGCUGGCUUGCAGGCGAUACGGGCAGACUUGAGUACUGCAGGGGAGACUGGAAUUCCUGGUGUAGCGGUGAAAUGCGCAGAUAUCAGGAGGAACACCGGUGGCGAAGGCGGGUCUCUGGGCAGUAACUGACGCUGAGGAACGAAAGCGUGGGUAGCGAACAGGAUUAGAUACCCUGGUAGUCCACGCCGUAAACGGUGGGCGCUAGGUGUGGGUUCCUUCCACGGAAUCCGUGCCGUAGCUAACGCAUAAGCGCCCUUGCAUGGGAGACGCCAAUCGGGCA
rnacentral:rRNA from 1 species